rnacentral:rRNA from 1 species
UACUCGAGUGGCGAACGGGUGAGUAACACGUGGGUGAUCUGCCCUGCACUUCGGGAUAAGCCUGGGAAACUGGGUCUAAUACCGGAUAGGACGAUGGUUUGGAUGCCAUUGUGGAAAGUUUUUCGGUGUGGGAUGAGCUCGCGGCCUAUCAGCUUAUUGGUGGGGUAAUGGCCUACCAAGGCGUCGACGGGUAGCCGGCCUGAGAGGGUGUACGGCCACAUUGGGACUGAGAUACGGCCCAG